rnacentral:lncRNA from 10 species
CAUAGUUUGAACUUUUAUUUAUGUUUAAUUUUUUAAUUUUUACAAGAUGCCGAUAGUAGCUGGCUUAUUAAUGUACAUUAUUCUUUGAUAUUUCAGGAAGCCACAGUGUUCAACUGUGAACUACAGAGUCCUGUAAGUUUAAAAUAACUUUGUUUCUCAACUAUGUGAUAUCCAGGAUUUUUUACAAUUACUUUGAGAUUUUUCCUCAUCAGUAAUGCAAAGAAAAUUGCAAUAUGAUUAUACAAUUUAUUUUUAUUUUUUUAGACAGGUUAUCACUCUGUCGCCCAGGCCGGAGUGCAGGGGUGUGAUUGUAGCUCAUUGCAGCCUCAAACUCCUGGGCUCAGACGAUCCUCCUUCAGCUUCCUAAGUAGCUGAGAUUACAGGCACGUGCCACCAUGCCUGGCUAAUUUAUUUUUUGUAGAGAGAGGGGUCUCACUUUGUUGCCCAGGCUGGUCUCCAACUCCUGGGCUCAAGUGAUACCCAGCCUGGGCCUCCCAAAGUGCUGGGAUUACGGGUAUGAGCCACUGUGCCCAGCCUGAUAUACAAUUUCUUCCUCAGACAGUCUGGCUCUGUCGCCCAGGCUGGAGUGCAGUGGCACAAUCUUGGCUCACUGCAACCUCUGCCUCCCGGGUUCAAGCAAUUCUCCUGCCUCAGCCUCCCGAGUAGCUGGAAUUACAGGCAUGCACCACCAUGCCUGACCAAUUUUUGUAUUUUUAGUAGAGACCUGGGGUUUCAUCAUGUUGGCCAGGCUGUUCUUGAACUCCUGACCUCAAGCAAUCCGCCCACCUCAGCCUCCCAAAGUGCUUGGAUUUCAGGAGUGAGCUUUUGCACCUGGCCUGAUAUACAAUUUCUGAUGCUAUAGAAGCAAUGUAUAACUCCUAAUUUACUAGUGACUGCUAUGCGCUUCAUUAACAUUAUGGACAUGUCGAUCCCAAAAAUCAUAUAGAAAUGUUACUUUUUUUUUGAGACAGGGUUUCACUCUGUCGCCCAGGCUGGACUGCAAUGGCGUAAACAUGGCUCACUGUAGCCUCAACCUCUCGGGCUCAAGCAAUCCUCCUGCCUCAGCCUCCCAAAUAGUUGAGACUACAGGCAUGUGUCACCACACCCCUUAAUUUUUGUAUUUUCUUUUCUCAUUAUGUUGUCCAGGAUGGUCUCAAACUCCUGGGCUCAAGGCAUCCUCCUGCCUUGGUCUCCUAAAGUGUUAGAAUUACAGGCAUGAGCCACUGUGCCCAGCCAGAAAUGUUAAACUCACUUUAUGGUUUCAGAACAAGGAUCAAAUAAAAUAAAAAUAUAAAAAAUAAAAUAUGGUUGGCCAAGUGUGGUGGCUCAGCCCUCUAAUCCCAGCCCUUUGGAAGGCCAAGGCAGAAGGCUCGCUUGAGCUCAGGAGUUCAAGACUAGCCUUGGCAACAUAGCAAGACCUCAUUUCUGCUAAAAAUAAAAAACAUUAGCCAGACAUGGUGGUCCACACUUGCAGUCCCAGUUAUUCAAGAGGCUGAGGUGGGAGGAUCACUUGAGCUUGGGAGAUCGAGGCUGCAGUGAGCUAUCAUCGUGCCACUGCACUCCAGUCUGGCGACAGAGCAAGACCUUCUCAAAAAUAAAAUAUGGUCGAAACGGGACAGACAAGGCGGCUACCUGUAACCCUGGCCGCUUUAGGAGCUGGGGCAGGAAAGUUGCUUGAGGCCAGGAAUCCGAGACCAGCCUGAGCAACAGCAGGACCCGUCUAUGAAAAAACAGGAGCAAGUAGUGGCACAUCCCAAUUGUGUCAGCUAACUGGGAGGCUGAGGCAGUUUCGUGUAUUCUUACUCCACUGGGUUCUGCUUUAUCGUAUUGACAGUAGACAUUUCAUUAAAUGAAAUGUAAAAAGAACACCAAUACAUACAUAUUAAAAUUUUCUUACUAGAAUCUUU